UACAGAUCCACGUAGUGCAGUGUGUUCAAGAAGAAGAACGAAACGGGUCGGUCAGUUCGCCCAAAGAUCCGCAGCCGCAGCCUUUGAUCUUUGUUUAUCUAUUCUAUAAUCUCGAUUUCUCUCUCAGAUUCCAAGUUUUAUCACUUCAAUUACCGACUCAUUUCGCCAUUUAUCGUCUCUGUUCUUAAGAAUUGGCGCUCUUCUGUUUUCACUCUGUUCGAUUUCUUCGGGGCCACAACACGGCGUGCGUCUCAAUUCUUGGCCUCUCUUUGUUUAUGUGAUUCGCUGUUGACUGUUGAGAGUAUCAUCGCGUGGUUCGAAUCUGUUUUUUGGGGUUUUUGUUUGAUGUAAUGGGUAAUUGGAGGGAACGGCCUAGGAGAAAUUUUCGGAAUCAGAAGCCUCCUUGGUCGGCGUCAAGAAAUUACGAUCAAGAUCCUCCGCUAGAGUAUUGGCGAGAUGGCAUUCCUUUAUGGGAAAAGACAUUUUGCAAAGAGAUCGGCUGUGUGCCAUGGGGUAAAAUAGUUGAUUCCAAGAACUUUAUUUAUUGUCAUACUAAUGUAGUCAAUUGGGAUGAUUCUGCUUGUGAAGCGGCUUUCCAUAAUGCUAAAAGACGUUAUUGGGCAGCCAUUAACGGCCAUCAGUGUGAUAUCAAUCUGCCUGAUCCGGACAAAUAUAUUGAACAAAUCGAUUGGAGUCCAGAGAUGGAUCCUGAAUUGAUUGAGGAACUGGAUUGGGCAUACUACAAUCCUAAUAUGAAACAACAGGAUGAUUGGUUGGAGUGUAAAAAUAAAAGGACAAGGAACUCCAGUUCUGUUUGGACAGAAAGUCACAUUGAAGAUCCAGGUCAUGUGGGUAAUCCCUGGGAACAUGGUAACCAAUUCACUGAAACUAAACGACAAGGAUGGAGCCAGUGGAAUUUAAGUGAGUCGAGGCAGGUGAAUAAAGAUGGCAAUCCUUGGGACAAUAUCAUUGACCCAAGGAACAGGGGUAUGGUGGACACUGCCUGGAAGGAUAAAGGGAAUCAAGUUGUCACCUCCUGGAAGAAUAAAGGCUUUUCUAGAGAUGCAAGAAGUAUGGUAGACAAUGCCUGGAGAGCUAACGUGCAGUAUCAAGAUGGUGCUGCCACCUGGAAGACUAAAGGGUUUGCCAGUGAUGCAAGAAAUAACUCAUGGAGCAGGCACCAGCAGGGUGCCAGUAAUUUUGAUCAUUAUAAUAGGCCUGGGAAUAGCAAUUACAAUCGGAAUGUCAGAAAUUUACCUGAUAGAAUGCCGCCGAAUAUUCACGGUAACAAACAGGAGUGGAAAUAUAAGUAUAGGUAUGGCAAGAGGCCAAAAGAUGCACAAUUUGAUUACAUUGGAGGUAGGGAUCAAGGAAACAUUCCACCCAACCCACAAGGGGGAAGAUUUUGAUCAGCUGUUUCGUGUUGGAGGAUAUUCAAAGCUUCAAAGAGAUUAUUUUGGUUGUUGGAGUUGACUGGCCACAUGAAUUUUGAUUUUGCCCACUAGUAGCCAACCACUUCUGUUUUUGCUUUGAUACUGCAGGAUCAUCUAUGUUUUUGUUGGUAGUUUUUAACUUUAUUUCAACAAGAAUGACUCUGCAGAAUUUUUGGUAUAAAGAAUUGAAUAUGAGUGACUUGGUUCUUUUGCAGGUCAAUAGGUAGAUUCCUCCCCUUACAAUAUGCGAUCCUUGUAUGAUCAGGCGACAUUAAGUAUGUAUCAUUUUGAUUUGAGAAACCUCUUUUUGGGAGACUUUAUAGAGGCAAUAACAGCUCUACUAUCAAUCCAAUUAUGACUUGUAUGUGUGAUGGCCUAAUCUUAGCCAAGAACAUGGUGGAGUUCCAUUGUACAUCAUCUUGAUAAUCUCCCUCAUUCGCCAACCUUGCUAGUUGAUCUAUUCUCCUCCUUAAUGAUCGAUUACUUUAAUUCACUUUUUGGUAUCUUUUUUCUUCACCUAUUUUACUUCAGAAUCAUAUUCUCACAGAUGAUUGGUUUUUUUCUUUUUUCUUUUUUUUCAAGAAGAAAUAUUCAGACAAUUGGCUUCUUAAAAAUGUGUUGCACACUCUGGAUAUGCAGUUUGUUCUUGUUCUUAGGUCCUUGUUCUGAGAAAUGAGAAUUCUGCUGUUGGGAAUAUGAUAAAACCAUGAUCUGGAAAUAGGAGGACGAGGGUACGAGUCCAACACGGUUGGCCAACACAGAAGAAGAAAGUUCAAAGUGGGAAGAGGUAAGUCCCUUUCAAGCAUGUUAUUUUCAGCCUCCUUGUGUUGAUGCUUUGUUUGCUUGUGUUAAAACUAAAGCAUGUUCAGCUAUUCUUGUCAUUGCUCUUAAGGUCUUCAGUAGGAAAAAGAGCCUUGAACAGAGCUUUUAACCUUUUCUCGAGUGUCCAAUGAAAGAAUUAUAAGAUUUAAGAGUGCAGGAUCUUUAAUUUAAGGAAUGGACAUUGAUUGGUUGAUGUGUUUGGUUACUCUUCUUUGUGAGGUGAAAAUGUUCAAAUCUUUUGUAUAACACAUCCUUUCUCUUUUAUUACUGGCAGGUAAAGAAACGAUUCAGAACUAAAUGCAAAGUUGUUAUCAAAAUGGGAUCCAAGAAAUUGCUUCUAGGAACACAGAUGGAUUUGCUGUUAGCUGCAUAAGAUUCAAAAUUCCAGGUGUCUUAAUCUCACCCAUUUUCUGAUUUACUUUGGCUUCUGUGUUGUAAAUUGCAUAAUUGGACGGCUAGUUUUGGUUUGAUCGGAUCUUCUGGUGGCAGAGUUGCGUGCUUGGAUUGAAAUGCUGAAUGAAAACAUACUGGCUGAGGGUUGUUGUUAAAUCAACACUGGUUUUGAGUGGUUUUGCUUGCAGCCUUGACUUAUUACUGCUUCUAUUCACUCUCUCGUCGAGUGAUAAUCCUCAUCUUGUAGUAUUUUGUUUAUAACUACAAGUAGGGUAUAAGAUUUUGAACAACAUGUAAAUUUUGUAUUUAAAUUUGUUCAACUAGAUUUUUA